rnacentral:rRNA from 1 species
GGUUAAGCGAAUAAGCGUACACGGUGGAUGCCUAGGCAAUCAGAGGCGAUGAAGGACGUGCUAAUCUGCGAUAAGCGUCGGUAAGGUGAUAUGAACCGUUAUACCCGACGAUUUCCGAAUGGGGAAACCCAAUAUCCAAUGGAUAUUAUCAUUAACUGAAUACAUAGGUUAAUGAAGCGAACCGGGAGAACUGAAACAUCUCAGUACCCCGAGGAAAAGAAAUCAACCGAGAUUCCCCUAGUAGCGGCGAGCGAACGGGGAACAGCCCAGAGUCUUAAUCAAUAACAGCAUCAGGAGAACGGUCUGGAAAGUCCGGCAGUAAAGGGUGAUAGCCCCGUAUCCGAAGAUGCUGUUAUUGUGAACUCGACGAGUAGGGCGGGACACGUGUUAUCCUGUCUGAAUAUGGGGGGACCAUCCUCCAAGGCUAAAUACUCCUGAUUGACCGAUAGUGAACCAGUACCGUGAGGGAAAGGCGAAAAGAACCCCGGCGAGGGGAGUGAAAAAGAACCUGAAACCGUGUACGUACAAGCAGUAGGAGCCCCACCACUAAGCUAGUGGUGAACUCACAGCGAUUCUUUUGCAUGAUAAUGUGCGGUAGACGGAGCGAAUGCGACGUCCAACCAACAAAAUCAAGCAGAGGAGGCUUAGUGGUGGGGUGACUGCGUACCUUUUGUAUAAUGGGUCAGCGACUUAUAUUCUGUAGCAAGGUUAACCGUAUAGGGGAGCCGUAGGGAAACCGAGUCUUAACUGGGCGAAUGAGUUGCAGGGUAUAGACCCGAAACCCGGUGAUCUAUCCAUGGGCAGGUUGAAGGUUGGGUAACACUAACUGGAGGACCGAACCGACUAAUGUUGAAAAAUUAGCGGAUGACUUGUGGAUGGGGGUGAAAGGCCAAUCAAACCGGGAGAUAGCUGGUUCUCCCCGAAAGCUAUUUAGGUAGCGCCUCGUGAACUCAUCUUCGGGGGUAGAGCACUGUUUCGACUAGGGGGUCAUCCCGACUUACCAACUCGAUGCAAACUGCGAAUACCGAAGAAUGUUAUCACGGGAGACACACGGCGGGUGCUAACGUCCGUCGUGAAGAGGGAAACAACCCAGACCGCCAGCUAAGGUCCCAAAGUCAUGGUUAAGUGGGAAACGAAGUGGGAAGGCUCAGACAGCCAGGAUGUUGGCUUAGAAGCAGCCAUCAUUUAAAGAAAGCGUAAUAGCUCACUGGUCGAGUCGGCCCGCGCGGAAGAUGUAACGGGGCUAAACCAUGCACCGAAGCUGCGGCAGCGACACUAAGUGUUGUUGGGUAGGGGAGCGUUCUGUAAGCCUGCGAAGGUGUACUGUGAGGUAUGCUGGAGGUAUCAGAAGUGCGAAUGCUGACAUAAGUAACGAUAAUGCGGGUGAAAAACCCGCACGCCGGAAGACCAAGGGUUCCUGUCCAACGUUAAUCGGGGCAGGGUGAGUCGACCCCUAAGGCGAGGCUGAAAAGCGUAGUCGAUGGGAAACGGGUUAAUAUUCCCGUACUGGUGGUAACUGCGAUGGGGGAACGGAGAAGGCUAGGUUGUCCGGGCGACGGUCGUCCCGGUUCAAGCAUGUAGGCAGAGUGAUUAGGCAAAUCCGGUCACUUAAUGCUGAGGUGUGAUGACGAACCACUAAGGUGGUGAAGCAAUUGAUGCCCUGCUUCCAGGAAAAGCCUCUAAGCUUCAGGUUACCAACAAUCGUACCCCAAACCGACACAGGUGGUCAGGUAGAGAAUACUCAGGCGCUUGAGAGAACUCGGGUGAAGGAACUAGGCAAAAUGGUGCCGUAACUUCGGGAGAAGGCACGCUGGCGGUAAGUGAAGUCCCUCGCGGACGGAGCCGAAGCCAGUCGAAGAUACCAGCUGGCUGCAACUGUUUAUUAAAAACACAGCACUGUGCAAACACGAAAGUGGACGUAUACGGUGUGACGCCUGCCCGGUGCUGGAAGGUUAAUUGAUGGGGUUAUCCUUAGGGAGAAGCUCUUGAUCGAAGCCCCAGUAAACGGCGGCCGUAACUAUAACGGUCCUAAGGUAGCGAAAUUCCUUGUCGGGUAAGUUCCGACCUGCACGAAUGGCGUAAUGAUGGCCAGGCUGUCUCCACCCGAGACUCAGUGAAAUUGAACUCGCUGUGAAGAUGCAGUGUACCCGCGGCAAGACGGAAAGACCCCGUGAACCUUUACUAUAGCUUGACACUGAACAUUGAGCCUUGAUGUGUAGGAUAGGUGGGAGACUAUGAAGUGUGGACGCCAGUCUGCAUGGAGUCAACCUUGAAAUACCACCCUUUAACGUUUGAUGUUCUAACCUAGGCCCAUAAUCUGGGUCGGGGACCGUGUCUGGUGGGUAGUUUGACUGGGGCGGUCUCCUCCUAAAGAGUAACGGAGGAGCACGAAGGUUGGCUAAGCAUGGUCGGACAUCAUGCGGUUAGUGCAAAGGCAUAAGCCAGCUUGACUGUGAGAGUGACGGCUCGAGCAGGUACGAAAGUAGGUCUUAGUGAUCCGGUGGUUCUGAAUGGAAGGGCCAUCGCUCAACGGAUAAAAGGUACUCCGGGGAUAACAGGCUGAUACCGCCCAAGAGUUCAUAUCGACGGCGGUGUUUGGCACCUCGAUGUCGGCUCAUCACAUCCUGGGGCUGAAGUAGGUCCCAAGGGUAUGGCUGUUCGCCAUUUAAAGUGGUACGCGAGCUGGGUUUAGAACGUCGUGAGACAGUUCGGUCCCUAUCUGCCGUGGGCGUUGGAAGAUUGAGAGGGGUUGCUCCUAGUACGAGAGGACCGGAGUGAACGCACCACUGGUGUUCGGGUUGUCAUGCCAAUGGCAUUGCCCGGUAGCUAAGUGCGGAAGAGAUAACCGCUGAAAGCAUCUAAGCGGGAAACUUGCCUCGAGAUGAGUCUUCCCUGUCACCUAGAGUGACCUAAAGGAACGUUUAAGACUAAGACGUUGAUAGGCUGGGUGUGUAAGCGUAGCGAUACGUUGAGCUAACCAGUACUAAUGAACCGUGAGGCUUAACCUG